rnacentral:rRNA from 1 species
UCAAUUUAAAAGACUGCUCGG